rnacentral:rRNA from 1 species
AACGUAGGAGACAAACGUUAUCCGGAGUUACUGGGCGUAAAGGGCGUGUAGGUGGUUCUGUAAGUCUGGCGUGAAAUUUCUCGGCUUAACCGAGGCAGGUCGUCGGAUACUGCAGGGCUAGAGGACGGUAGAGGCGUGUGGAAUUCCGGGUGUAGUGGUGAAAUGCGUAGAGAUCCGGAAGAACACCGGAGGCGAAGGCGGCUUGCUGGGCGUGAUCUGACGCUGAGGCGGCGAAAGCGUGGGAGCAAACAGG